GCCCACAUAGCUCAGUUGGUAGAGCACGCCCUUGGUAAGGGCGAGGUCACCGGUUCGAGUCCGGUUGUGGGCUCCA
rnacentral:tRNA from 1 species